UGCGAGUUCGACGAUGAAGCCCAGCUUGCUGGGUGGAUUAGUGGCGAACGGGUGAGUAACACGUGGGUGAAAAGGCCAGCACUUCGGGAUAAGCCUGGGAAACUGGGUCUAAUACCGGAUAGGACCUCGGGAUGCAUGUUCCGGGGUGGAAAGGUUUUCCGGUGCAGGAUGGGCCCGCGGCCUAUCAGCUUGUUGGUGGGGUAACGGCCCACCAAGGCGACGACGGGUAGCCGGCCUGAGAGGGCGACCGGCCACACUGGGACUGAGACACGGCCCAGACUCCUACGGGAGGCAGCAGUGGGGAAUAUUGCACAAUGGGCGCAAGCCUGAUGCAGCGACGCCGCGUGAGGGAUGACGGCCUUCGGGUUGUAAACCUCUUUCAGUACCGACGAAGCGCAAGUGACGGUAGGUACAGAAGAAGCACCGGCCAACUACGUGCCAGCAGCCGCGGUAAUACGUAGGGUGCGAGCGUUGUCCGGAAUUACUGGGCGUAAAGAGCUCGUAGGCGGUUUGUCGCGUCGUCUGUGAAAACCCGCAGCUCAACUGCGGGCUUGCAGGCGAUACGGGCAGACUUGAGUACUGCAGGGGAGACUGGAAUUCCUGGUGUAGCGGUGAAAUGCGCAGAUAUCAGGAGGAACACCGGUGGCGAAGGCGGGUCUCUGGGCAGUAAACUGACGCUGAGGAGCGAAAGCGUGGGUAGCGAACAGGAUUAGAUACCC
rnacentral:rRNA from 1 species